rnacentral:rRNA from 1 species
ACUCCUACGGGAGGCAGCAGUGGGGAAUCUUGGACAAUGGGCGCAAGCCUGAUCCAGCCAUGCCGCGUGAGUGAUGAAGGCCUUAGGGUCGUAAAGCUCUUUCGCCAGAGAUGAUAAUGACAGUAUCUGGUAAACGAAACCCCGGCUAACUCCGUGCCAGCAGCCGCGGUAAUACGGAGGGGUUAGCGUUGUUCGGAAUUACUGGGCGUAAAGCGCACGUAGGCGGAUUAGUUAGUCAGAGGUGAAAUCCCGGGGCUCAACCCCGGAACUGCCUUGAUACUGCUAGUCUUGAGUUCGAGAGAGGUGAGUGGAAUUCCGAGUGUAGAGGUGAAAUUCGUAGAUAUUCGGAGGAACACCAGUGGCGAAGGCGGCUCACUGGCUCGAUACUGACGCUGAGGUGCGAAAGUGUGGGGAGCAAACAGGAUUAGAUACCCUGGUAGCGACUGA